GUUUGUGGGAACACCACGUAAAUUUAUUACUGCAAAGCUUUACGGAUCGAAAGCUUUGCAGUAAUAAAUUUACGUGGUGUUUCCACAAACAAAACCUA